rnacentral:rRNA from 1 species
UUGGAGGGCAAGUCUGGUGCCAGCAGCCGCGGUAAUUCCAGCUCCAAUAGCGUAUAUUAAAGUUGUUGCAGUUAAAAAGCUCGUAGUUGAAUUUCGGGAUCAAAUUGUCGGUCGCGCCUCGGUACGCACUGGUAUUAUUGGUUCCUACCUUCUGAAGAACCGCGAUGUCAUUAAUUUGGUGUCGUGGGGAAUCAGGACUGUUACUUUGAAAAAAUUAGAGUGUUUAAAGCAGGCUUACGCUUGAAUACAUUAGCAUGGAAUAAUGAAAUAGGACGUUUGAUUCUAUUUUGUUGGUUUCUAGGAUUGACGUAAUGAUUAAUAGGGAUAGUUGGGGGCAUUAGUAUUCAAUUGUCAGAGGUGAAAUUCUUGGAUUUAUUGAAGACUAACUACUGCGAAAGCAUUUGCCAAGGAUGUUUUCAUUAAUCAAGAACGAAAGUUAGGGGAUCGAAGACGAUCAGAUACCGUCGUAGUCUUAACCAUAAACUAUGCCGACUAGGGAUCGGAUGAUGUUAAUUUUUUAAUGACUCAUUCGGCGCCUUACGGGAAAC